rnacentral:lncRNA from 1 species
AUGUGAGGGUGAUCCAUGACACUUGUUACCCCCGUGAUCGCCAGCAUUGAUUCCAGUGGUCUGGCCGGCUAGGCGAGCGUCCCUUUCUUCCCUUCCCAUUCCCCCGAUGCUGCACGCUCAGUCUAAGAGGACGACCUCCCCCAUAGAGAAAGACCUGUGUUCCAUCAAGGAUGUAGGAACAGCUGUGUCCCCCGCCCCACUUCUGCUAGAACCUCCAAA